AUUGAACGCUGGCGGCAUGCCUUACACAUGCAAGUCGAACGGCAGCACGGGAGUAAUCCUGGUGGCGAGUGGCGAACGGGUGAGUAAUACAUCGGAACGUGUCCUGUAGUGGGGGAUAGCCCGGCGAAAGCCGGAUUAAUACCGCAUACGCUCUACGGAGGAAAGGGGGGGAUCUUAGGACCUCCCGCUACAGGGGCGGCCGAUGGCAGAUUAGCUAGUUGGUGGGGUAAAGGCCUACCAAGGCGACGAUCUGUAGCUGGUCUGAGAGGACGACCAGCCACACUGGGACUGAGACACGGCCCAGACUCCUACGGGAGGCAGCAGUGGGGAAUUUUGGACAAUGGGCGAAAGCCUGAUCCAGCAAUGCCGCGUGUGUGAAGAAGGCCUUCGGGUUGUAAAGCACUUUUGUCCGGAAAGAAAACUUCUGCCCUAAUACGGCGGGAGGAUGACG
rnacentral:rRNA from 1 species